rnacentral:snRNA from 1 species
AAUCAGAGUAAGUAGGAUUGCCUAGUAAUGGUCUGAUAUGUUCUCGCUAUGAGAACUGUGUAUUAAAUUGGUUUUUGGAACAAGGAGUUGGACUAGGAGCUUGCUCUAUCCACUCCACGCAUCCGCCUAGUAUUGCAGUACUUCUGGGUCGGGGGG